rnacentral:rRNA from 1 species
ACGGGGUGCAGCAGGCGCGAAACCUUCGCAAUGCGCGCAAGCGCGACGAGGUUAUUCUGAGUGAUUCCCGCUGAGGGAAUCUUUUCUUAGAUCUAAAAAGUCUGGGGAAUAAGGGGAGGGCAAGUCUGGUGUCAGCCGCCGCGGUAAUACCAGCUCCUCGAGUGGUCAGGGCGUUUAUUGGGCCUAAAGCAUCCGUAGCCUGCUCAGUAGGUCUCCUGUUAAAUCCAACGGCUCAACCGUUGGUCUGCAGGAGAUACCGCUGGGCUAGGAGGCGGGAGAGGCGGACGGUACUCCGAGGGUAGGGGUAAAAUCCUUUGAUCCCCGGAAGACCACCAGUGGCGAAGGCGGUCCGCCAGAACGCGCUCGACGGUGAGGGAUGAAAGCUGGGGGAGCGAACCGGAUUAGAUACCCGGGUAGUCCUAGCCGUAAACGAUGCGAGCUAGGUGUCACGUGGAUUGCGAAUCCAUGUGGUGCCGUAGGGAAACCGUGAAGCUCGCCGCCUGGGAAGUACGGCCGCAAGGCUGAAACUUAAAGGAAUUGGCGGGGGAGCAC